GACGAACGCUGGCGGCGUGCUUAACACAUGCAAGUCGAACGGAAAGGCCCUGCUUUUGUGGGGUGCUCGAGUGGCGAACGGGUGAGUAACACGUGAGUAACCUGCCCUUGCCUUUGGGAUAACUUCAGGAAACUGGGGCUAAUACCGGAUAGGAGCUCCCGCUGCAUGGUGGGGGUUGGAAAGUUUCGGCGGUUGGGGAUGGACUCGGGGCUUAUCAGCUUGUUGGUGGGGUAGUGGCUUACCAAGGCUUUGACGGGUCGCCGGCCUGAGAGGGUGACCGGCCACAUUGGGACUGGGAUAGGGCCCAGACUCCUACGGGAGGCAGCAGUGGGGAAUAUUGCACAAUGGGCGGAAGCCUGAUGCAGCAACGCCGCGUGCGGGAGGACGGCCUUCGGGUUGUAAACCGCUUUCGCCGGUGACGAAGCGUGAGUGACGGUAAUGGGUAAAGAAGCACCGGCUAACUACGUG
rnacentral:rRNA from 1 species